GUACCUUUUUUCUCAAAGCAGGUUUAUCUUGAUACCAAUGUUUCUCUCAUUGAACUAGGAAUUCAUUUGUGUUGAAAAUUUCAAAAUAAAUGAAUGGUUGCCUCAUCACAGGCAUGUAUCAUUACCCUCAUGUUUAUUAUUGUUAUGAUUACUUUCCUAGAAUUAAGCAAGAAGUGGCGAUAUUACGGAGAUAUGGUUGUAGACGUUGGUGGAAGUUUUUGAAGGAUGGUGCUAAACCAUCGGAGGCUCUUGAGAUGUUAAGUCAGUCUGCACCUCCACCUGCUGGACCAGACACUCCACAGGAGAGUCCACCAGAUCCUCCUCCUGAAGCAGAGACAGAAAUAGAUUCCAUUGGAAAUGUCCCAGAAGAUAGACACAAAUUCACCUGGACAAGUUGGAAAGAAUGAUUCACACUUCCCUGACACAAAUCCAGAAAGAGAAGAAAACUGUAAAGUUGAAGCAAAUGCAGAUACAGAUGGACAUACAACUGGGUCACCACUUUCAGUGGAUGUACACAUAAACACACACUCGUGUGAAACAAUUGCAAGUGAGAAUGAUUCAUUGCUGAAUCACGGAAGUGAAGUACAAACAGACUCCACAAAGCCAAGAGACAGUUCAGCCCAAGAGAGCUCACCACUUCUGGGAAAAUACAUCAAUGAAAGUGUCUCACCUUCGGAAUCAGAAUAACAGACAGAUGUAUGCCCAACAAGCCCAAACUGCAGUUGUCCAGUAAGGAACAGAAAAAGAUCAUAGUGGACAACAGAUCUGAUCUGAGCAGCCUUCGGGUUCAGUGUUGCCCCAAGUUAAUGUCUCUGAAAUUCAAAAGUCAUAUCUGUAUUUAAACUAUGUGUCAUUAAAUGAUGUUUAACAUUGUCACUUGCUUGUCACUUGUCAUAGAUGCCUUAAUCAUCAGUAGGAGUUGAACAAAGUUCUGAGCAGUGUUUGAGUGAGCAGUGUGAUGGGAGCUGUAAUGACGUAAUAAGCGGAGCAUUACAAGCUGUAAAUCGUUUAUGUUACAGUGAUGACUAUAUGUUAUAUUAACACAAUAGUAUUAUAUAAGGGCAUCACUUUUUUCACAAAUUUUAAGAUAGUCCAUGAAUGAAGUAGAUAAAAUGAUCUCUUCUGGAUAAUUAAACUAGUUCCAUAGGCAUCUUCUCAGCAGGUGG